rnacentral:lncRNA from 1 species
AUACAAGGAGAAACCAUCUAUCAUGAAAGAUGUCGGUUGGAGCCCAGUGUGAGGUGGUGCUCUAGGUAGAGGUGGAUCGGGCACAAGAUGAAAAACUCGAGAAGAUGAUAAGCGAUGUCAUUAGGAGGCUAUCCCGAGCAGGUCUCAGGUCAGUAGGAUGGAGAUGGGAUCGAGCGAUCUGGCUCGACUCUCAUAUUUACCCAUUCAU